GAACUGGGGCAGGAGGAACCUCAGGAGGAGAGGCGGGUGCAGGCUUCACAGAGAGGAUGAGAGGGCCUGGGAGUGCCCCAAACUGGGCACAAGUGACAGAGAAGUCCCAACACCAGCCAGGCACUGGAAGGGCUCUCUGAGGCUGUGGCAGUGUGGACAGUCUGGUGCCAAGCCCUGAGCUGAGCUGUGACUGGCAGGAGGUGGAGGAGCAGGUGGUGUGGGCGUGUGCACCAGAGGCACAGAGUGGAGGAGCCGCCGCUGCCCGUGAAGCCCCCUCCUCAGGAGCUGGGUGCUGUUCUUGGCUCUGUACCCGUGUGGACCUGCAGAAUCCUCCCAGCCUCGUGAGGCAUGUUCCCCAACCGGAGAGCACAUUGCUACCCCUCUGCCCGGGUUCCUGCUGGUCCCCAGGAGUCGGCCUUCCCUUGAGACAUCCUGCUCGCCCAGGUCCCUCCGCCAUUCAGAGAGCUCCCUUUCCUACCUGGUUGGUCUGCACACCCGUGGCUCAUGGAUCCGGCAUUAGAGCUGAUGCAUUUGGCAUCCAUUGUCACAACUGCACAACCUAAUAAACACAGUGACCUUUAA